rnacentral:rRNA from 1 species
ACGCUCGACACCUACGGGAGCAGCAGUGGGGAAUAUUGCACAAUGGGGGAAACCCUGAUGCAGCGACGCCGCGUGAGCGAAGAAGUAUUUCGGUAUGUAAAGCUCUAUCAGCAGGGAAGAAAAUGACGGUACCUGACUAAGAAGCCCCGGCUAACUACGUGCCUGCAGCCGCGGUAAUCUGAGCGGGCUGGCAAGGC